rnacentral:rRNA from 1 species
UGGGGAAUAUUGCACAAUGGGCGCAAGCCUGAUGCAGCCAUGCCGCGUGUAUGAAGAAGGCCUUCGGGUUGUAAAGUACUUUCAGUCGGGAGGAAGGUGGUAAGGUUAAUAACCUUGGCAAUUGACGUUACCGACAGAAGAAGCACCGGCUAACUCCGUGCCAGCAGCCGCGGUAAUACGGAGGGUGCAAGCGUUAAUCGGAAUUACUGGGCGUAAAGCGCACGCAGGCGGUUGAUUGAGUCAGAUGUGAAAUCCCCGGGCUUAACCCGGGAAUUACAUCUGAUACUGGUCAGCUAGAGUCUUGUAGAGGGGGGUAGAAUUCCAUGUGUAGCGGUGAAAUGCGUAGAGAUGUGGAGGAAUACCGGCGGCGAAGGCGGCCCCCUGGACAAAGACUGACGCUCAGGUGCGAAAGCGUGGGGAGCAAACAGG